rnacentral:rRNA from 1 species
UUGGAGGGCAAGUCUGGUGCCAGCAGCCGCGGUAAUUCCAGCUCCAAUAGCGUAUAUUAAAGUUGUUGCAGUUAAAAAGCUCGUAGUUGAAUUUCGGGAUUAGUACGCUGGUCGUGCCUUCGGUACGUACUGGUGUUACUGAUUCCUACCUUCUGACGAACCAUCAUGUCAUUAAUUUGGUGUGGCGGGGAAUCAGGACUGUUACUUUGAAAAAAUUAGAGUGUUUAAAGCAGGCUCGCGCUUGAAUACAUUAGCAUGGAAUAAUGAGAUAGGACGUUGAUCCUAUUUUGUUGGUUUCUAGGAUUGACGUAAUGAUUAAUAGGGAUAGUUGGGGGCAUUAGUAUUCAAUUGUCAGAGGUGAAAUUCUUGGAUCUAUUGAAGACUAACUACUGCGAAAGCAUUUGCCAAGGAUGUUUUCAUUAAUCAAGAACGAAAGUUAGGGGAUCGAAGACGAUCAGAUACCGUCGUAGUCUUAACCAUAAACUAUGCCGACUAGGGAUCGGAUGAUGUUAUUUUUAAUGACUCAUUCGGCGCCUUACGGGAAAC